ACACGCAUGACACACUGCAUAUCAAUAAGCGGAGGAAAAAGAAACUAACAAGGAUUCCCCUAGUAACGGCGAGUGAAGCGGGAAGAGCUCAAAUUUGAAAUCUUCAAGGUUUUUACCUUGACGAAUUGUAGUUUUAUAGAAGUGUUUUUCUGUUAGUGGAGUGGCAAAAAGUUCUUUGGAAUAGGGACAUCAUAGAGGGUGAGAAUCCCGUAUUUGGUCCAUUCCUCCUAGCGUUUGUGAUACACUUUCAACGAGUCGGAUUGUUUUGGGAAUGCAGUCCCAAAAUGGGUGGUAAAUUUCAUCUAAAGCUAAAUAUUGGCGAGAGACCGAUAGCGAACAAGUAUCGUUAGGGAAAGAUGAAAAGAACUUUGAAAAGAGAGUUAAAACAGUACGUGAAAUUGUCAAAAGGGAAGCGUUUUGACACCAGUGUUGUUUUUUCCGAAAAAUCAAUUUAUAAUCAUGGGAUGCUAAGUUGUAUUGACUUCAUCGGCUUUCUGCUUAGUUUUUCUUAUGUUUUGUGAAUGCACUUUUUCGGUUAACAAGUCAACAUCAAUUUCUUUUAGCUGUAAAAAAGGUAAGAGGAAGGUGGCUUAAGCUUCGGUUUUAAGUGUUUUAUAGCCUUUUACCUCUGCAGUCGGAGAGAUUGAAGGUCUGCAGCGUAGACUCUUUUAGGGUUAGAUCCAUUUGUGCUAAGCUUAUAGCUUUUUUAUAGACAACAUGUUGACUAUGAUUAGUCUUGUAGCUUACCCGCAGAUGUCAUUUUACCUACGCUUAGGAUGUUGAGUAGCGACAUACGCAC
rnacentral:rRNA from 1 species